GACGAACGCUGGCGGCGUGCUUAACACAUGCAAGUCGAACGGAAAGGCCCCUUUGGGGGUCCUCGAGUGGCGAACGGGUGAGUAACACGUGAGUAACCUGCCCUUGACUUCGGGAUAACUUCAGGAAACUGGGGCUAAUACCGGAUAGGAAUCCUUGCUGCAUGGUGGGGGUUGGAAAGCUUCGGCGGUUUUGGAUGGACUCGCGGCUUAUCAGCUUGUUGGUGGGGUAGUGGCUUACCAAGGCUUUGACGGGUAGCCGGCCUGAGAGGGCGACCGGCCACCUUGGGACUGAGAUACGGCCCAGACUCCUACGGGAGGCAGCAGUGGGGAAUAUUGCACAAUGGGCGGAAGCCUGAUGCAGCAACGCCGCGUGCGGGAUGACGGCCUUCGGGUUGUAAACCGCUUUCAGCAGGGGCGAAGCUUGUGGUGACGGUACCUGCAGAAGAAGCACCGGCUAACUACGU
rnacentral:rRNA from 1 species